AGAGUUUGAUCCUGGCUCAGGACGAACGCUGGCGGCGUGCCUAAUACAUGCAAGUCGAGCGGAUCUUGUCCUUCGGGACAAGGUUAGCGGCGGACGGGUGAGUAACACGUAGGCAACCUGCCCUCAAGACUGGGAUAACCUCCGGAAACGGAUGCUAAUACCGGAUAUGCGGUCUCUCCUCCUGGAGGGAUCGGGAAAGACGGAGCAAUCUGUCGCUUGGGGAUGGGCCUGCGGCGCAUUAGCUAGUUGGUGGGGUAACGGCUCACCAAGGCGACGAUGCGUAGCCGACCUGAGAGGGUGAUCGGCCACACUGGGACUGAGACACGGCCCAGACUCCUACGGGAGGCAGCAGUAGGGAAUCUUCCGCAAUGGACGCAAGUCUGACGGAGCAACGCCGCGUGAGUGAGGAAGGCCUUCGGGUCGUAAAGCUCUGUUGCCAGGGAAGAACGGGUGGAAGAGUAACUGCUUCCGCCAUGACGGUACCUGAGAAGAAAGCCCCGGCUAACUACGUGCCAGCAGCCGCGGUAAUACGUAGGGGGCAAGCGUUGUCCGGAAUUAUUGGGCGUAAAGCGCGCGCAGGCGGCUUUGUAAGUCCGGUGUUUAAUCUUGGGGCUCAACCCCAAGUCGCACGGGAAACUGCAAGGCUUGAGUGCAGAAGAGGAAAGUGGAAUUCCACGUGUAGCGGUGAAAUGCGUAGAGAUGUGGAGGAACACCAGUGGCGAAGGCGACUUUCUGGGCUGUAACUGACGCUGAGGCGCGAAAGCGUGGGGAGCAAACAGGAUUAGGUACCCUGGUAGUCCACGCCGUAAACGAUGAAUGCUAGGUGUUAGGGGUUUUGGAUACCCUUGGGUGCCGAAGGUUAACACAAUUAAGGCAUUUCCCGCCUGGGGAGUACGCUCGCAAGGAGUGAACUUCAAAAGGAAAUUUGACGGGGGGACUCUGCAACAAGUCCAGUGGUAGGUAUUGUGGUUAAUUUCCGUAGGCUAACGCGAAGAACCCUUUACCAGGUCUUUGACAUUCCUCCCUGGAAUCAACCUGAGAGAUAGGGUGCCGGCCUUCGGGACCAGGAGAGACAGGUGGCUGCCAUAGGCCUGAUCG
rnacentral:rRNA from 1 species